rnacentral:rRNA from 1 species
AGCAGCCGCGGUAAUUCCAGCUCCAAUAGCGUAUAUUAAAGUUGUUGCAGUUAAAAAGCUCGUAGUUGAAUUUCGGGGUCAGUAGGUUGGUCAUGCCACUGGUAUGUACUGGUCUCACUGAUUCCUCCUUCCUGAUGAACUGUAAUGCCAUUAAUUUGGUGUUGCAGGGAAUCUGGACUGUUACUUUGAAAAAUUAGAGUGUUUAAAGCAGGCUAACGCCUGAAUACAUUAGCAUGGAAUAAUGAAAUAGGACGUUCGAUCCUAUUUUGUUGGUUUCUAGGAUUGACGUAAUGAUUAAUAGGGAUAGUUGGGGGCAUUAGUAUUCAAUUGUCAGAGGUGAAAUUCUUGGAUUUAUUGAAGACUAACUACUGCGAAAGCAUUUGCCAAGGAUGUUUUCAUUAAUCAAGACGAAAGUUAGGGGAUCGAAGACGAUCAGAUACCGUCGUAGUCUUAACCAUAAACUAUGCCGACUAGGGAUCGGAUUGAUGUAAUUUUUAAUGACUCAUUC